UAUGUGAGUAAUGUGCGUCA
rnacentral:misc_RNA from 1 species